rnacentral:tRNA from 1 species
GGAGGUAUGGCUCAGCAGGAGAGUUCCAGCCUAGCAAGUAUGAGGCCCUGAAUUCAAACCUCAGUACUACCA